GACGAACGCUGGCGGCGUGCUUAACACAUGCAAGUCGAACGGAGAGGCCCUGCUUUUGUGGGGUGCUCGAGUGGCGAACGGGUGAGUAACACGUGAGUAACCUGCCCUUGACUUUGGGAUAACUUCAGGAAACUGGGGCUAAUACCGGAUAGGAGCUCCUGCUGCAUGGUGGGGGUUGGAAAGUUUCGGCGGUUGGGGAUGGACUCGCGGCUUAUCAGCUUGUUGGUGGGGUAGUGGCUUACCAAGGCUUUGACGGGUAGCCGGCCUGAGAGGGUGACCGGCCACAUUGGGACUGAGAUACGGCCCAGACUCCUACGGGAGGCGGCAGUGGGGAAUAUUGCACAAUGGGCGGAAGCCUGAUGCAGCAACGCCGCGUGCGGGAUGACGGCCUUCGGGUUGUAAACCGCUUUCGCCUGUGACGAAGCGUGAGUGACGGUAAUGGGUAAAGAAGCACCGGCUAACUACGUG
rnacentral:rRNA from 1 species